rnacentral:lncRNA from 1 species
GGGUUCAUCUUCAUGAGGUGUAAUGGCGCCGGGAUGCGCUCUCCUCUUCUCAUUUGCCAAUUUAUUGCAGAUCCCUCCUCAAAAAAGUUUUGGGACUAACUCAGCCCCAUGGAGAUCAAGGUGAAUUAGAAAAACAACAAAACAAAACAAGAUUCAUUUUAACAUCUCAUUUUUCUAUCUCCAACUUUCCCUCCCCUCCUCCCACCCCAGGAAGAAAAGACUACGUUUGUUUCUGGUGAUACAUUCAUUGUAGGUGGGUGGGUGACUUCUAGAAGAGGAAAAUCAAGAAGAUUUGGAGAAGGAGUCUUGGAAGCUCUGGUGAAGUUUUCCAAAACUGGGAAGGACAGAGCCACAGGUCUGCCUGUUCUUUUGCUUUGCCAUUUGUGUGGAUACCUAGUAGAGCAAUUUGGGUGCCAUUCUUUGAGGAAUCCAUUGGAUCUGUCAGAAAGCUGAGUCUGCUCAGCCUGUGUUAGUGGAGAAGAGGGAAGGAAACUGGCUGGAGGCCGCUGGACCCACAGAGGACAAUAGACAAUCUCCUGCUUGGAAGAAAAAGAAAAUGAGACCCAGAAGACCCAAAUCACAAAUCAAAAGGACCUCACAGAAGAUUCUACAAUUGAGAUUAUUUAUCCUGGGAUGCCCACUGGAUCCAAAGAGAGAAACUCUAUAGAAUUAUGAUCUAGGUUUGACUGACUCCUGGCAAGAAGCCCUACCCGCCAGCCAAUUUGGAUGAGGAACACAGAAUCACUUGUGGAAUUAAGAGAUAAGGACAGCAAGUAGACCAAACUAUAAGCUGAGGUUCAAGGUGGCAUAGGCUGGGUGCCACAGUGCUGUGUCUCAGGUGGGCUAGAAGUGCGAAACGGACAGUACCAGAAGGAAAACUUGAGGGUCACAGGGGUCAUCCAUCUUUCCUUCUAUGUGACUGGUUUGCUCUUGCAUAUCAUGUUUUCCGCUCUUAUGCUCCAGAUCCAUCAUGAGAAGAACAUGCCCUGGAUUCCUGCUAUCCCUUUAGCCAUGGCUCCAAAAUUAACACACACAAGGAAGACCUGAGGUCAAUCCACAGCCUGGAUUCAAGUCACCUAAUACAUAGGAGAAUCAGAGCUACCCAGCCACACUCAAUCUACGUUAACUGAACCUCAGCUGACCUGCAGAUUUAUGAGUAUGAGAAUAAAGGCUUGUUAAUGUAUA